rnacentral:tRNA from 1 species
GAUUUGAUAUAAACCUUGUUUUGAAAACUUGUAUAAGAAAUUAUUUCUUCAAAUCU